rnacentral:rRNA from 1 species
CCUACGGGAGGCAGCAGUGGGGAAUAUUGCUCAAUGGGGGAAACCCUGAAGCAGCAACGCCGCGUGGAGGAUGAAGGUUUUCGGAUUGUAAAGCCCUUUUUUUAGAGAAGAUAAUGACGGUAUCUAACGAAUAAGCACCGGCUAACUCCGUGCCAGCAGCCGCGGUAAUACGGAGGGUGCAAGCGUUAUUCGGAAUUACUGGGCGUAAAGAGCGCGUAGGCGGGAUAGCAAGUCAGAUGUGAAAUCCUAUGGCUUAACCAUAGAACUGCAUUUGAAACUGUUAUUCUAGAGUAUGGGAGAGGUAGGUGGAAUUCUUGGUGUAGGGGUGAAAUGCGUAGAGAUCAAGAGGAAUACUCAUUGCGAAGGCGGCCUGCUGGAACAAAACUGACGCUGAUGCGCGAAAGCGUGGGGAGCAAACAGGAUUAGAUACCCCAGUAGUC